rnacentral:rRNA from 1 species
AUUGAACGCUGGCGGCAUGCCUUACACAUGCAAGUCGAACGGCAGCACGGGAGCAAUCCUGGUGGCGAGUGGCGAACGGGUGAGUAAUAUAUCGGAACGUGCCUAGUAGUGGGGGAUAACUACUCGAAAGAGUGGCUAAUACCGCAUGAGAUCUACGGAUGAAAGCAGGGGAUCGCAAGACCUUGUGCUACUAGAGCGGCCGGUGGCAGAUUAGGUAGUUGGUGGGAUAAAAGCUUACCAAGCCGACGAUCUGUAGCUGGUCUGAGAGGACGAUCAGCCACACUGGGACUGCGACACGGCCCAGACUCCUACGGGAGGCAGCAGUGGGGAAUUUUGGACAAUGGGCGCAAGCCUGAUCCAGCAAUGCCGCGUGCAGGAUGAAGGCCUUCGGGUUGUAAACUGCUUUUGUACGGAACGAAAAGCCCUGGGUUAAUACCCUGGGGUCAUGACGGUACCGUAAGAAUAAGCACCAGCUAACUACGUGCCAGCCGCCGCGGUAAGAC